rnacentral:rRNA from 1 species
GACGAACGCUGGCGGCGUGCUUAACACAUGCAAGUCGAACGGAAAGGCCCUGCUUUUGUGGGGUGCUCGAGUGGCGAACGGGUGAGUAACACGUGAGUAACCUGCCCUUGACUUUGGGAUAACUUCAGGAAACUGGGGCUAAUACCGGAUAGGAGCUCCUGCUGCAUGGUGGGGGUUGGAAAGUUUCGGCGGUUGGGGAUGGACUCGCGGCUUAUCAGCUUGUUGGUGGGGUAGUGGCUUACCAAGGCUUUGACGGGUAGCCGGCCUGAGAGGGUGACCGGCCACAUGGGGACUGAGAUACGGCCCAGACUGCUACGGGAGGCAGCAGUGGGGAAGAUGGCACAAUGGGCGGAAGCCUGAUGCAGCAACGCCGCGUGCGGGAUGACGGCCUUCGGGUUGUAAACCGCUUUCGCCUGUGACGAAGCGUGAGUGACGGUAAUGGGUAAAGAAGCACCGGCUAACUACGUG